GAGGUAUUUUUUUUUGUUGUUGAUUGUUGUGUGUUUAGCUAACUAACUUAGACCAGUAAACAUAGAUACUAAUGUCAGAAAGAAAAGUCAAAACAGCAGACACCUGAUUAAAAGACAGCUAGACAUGUUGAACUGUAACAAAGCCUGAGAUGUUUUGCAUGUCUAGUAAUAGUUUAUUUUACUUAAGUGAUACCAGUGUGCUACAUUAGUAUUGCAUUUAUAUCUGAUAUAUUAAAAUAUUUAUCAUGCUUCUGUCAGAUGACCCCAAAUUGUGCACUUUAUCAAGCUUGUAGUUAUUUUUUACAACAAAUUUACACCUUGCACUGGUGAAUAAAUAUAGAAAACAAUGCAAAAGCAACAUUAUGUGCAAAAUAGCAUCUCACACACUCUUUCUUUGCAGUUAGUUUAAUACUGUUUGUUAGUGUAUUGUGUAUUUGCCCUGUUAACUUUUUUCUUUAAAGGUUUAUGUACUGCAAAAACAUUCAGAAAAUCUCACAAACUUUUGCAACUUACAGCAUGGACAAAAUGGAUGCAGUUUUCACCUAGAAAUCUGAAGCAUAUUCUGUGCACAGUAUGUCCUACAGCCAUAAAAAUGGUUGCUCCACUAACUAUGGUAUUCAUGGACCCUUGAAGAGGGGGAAGCAGGUGGUCACAAUGUCCUCAUAUGAGUGAAAAGCUACGUAAUUCGAAUUGACUUGAUUUUUUCAAGUAAUCCUAGAAAGGGGGAGCAUUCCAUAUAGAAACUGCUGAAACUGCCACAGGUGCUUCUCCGAAAACCUUACAGUUGUGGCAUUGAAUGUUCAGUAUCGCUUCCUUUCUGCACACAAGGCAUACUGUUGAG